rnacentral:rRNA from 1 species
AGAGUUUGAUCAUGGCUCAGGACGAACGCUGGCGGCGUGCUUAACACAUGCAGGUCGAGCGAUGAAACUUCCUUCGGGAAGUGGAUUAGCGGCGAACGGGUGAGUAACACGUGAGUAACCUGCCUCAAAGAGGGGGAUAGCCUUCCGAAAGGAAGAUUAAUACCGCAUAACAUAUAGAAAACACAUGUUUUUUAUAUCAAAGGAGCAAUCCGCUUUGAGAUGGACUCGCGGCGCAUUAGCUAGUUGGUAGGGUAAUGGCCUACCAAGGCAACGAUGCGUAGCCGACCUGAGAGGGUGAUCGGCCACAUUGGGACUGAGACACGGCCCAGACUCCUACGGGAGGCAGCAGUGGGGAAUAUUGCGCAAUGGGCGAAAGCCUGACGCAGCAACGCCGCGUGGGUGAUGACGGUCUUCGGAUUGUAAAACCCUGUCUUCAGGGACGAUAAUGACGGUACCUGAGGAGGAAGCCACGGCUAACUACGUGCCAGCAGCCGCGGUAAUACGUAGGUGGCAAGCGUUGUCCGGAUUUACUGGGCGUAAAGGGUGCGUAGGCGGACAAUUAAGUCAGAUGUGAAAUCCCAGGGCUCAACCUUGGGGCUGCAUUUGAUACUGGUUGUCUAGAGUGCAGGAGAGGAGAGUG